rnacentral:rRNA from 1 species
GGGUUGUGAGGUUAAGCGACUAAGCGUACACGGUGGAUGCCCUGGCAGUCAGAGGCGAUGAAGGACGUGCUAAUCUGCGAAAAGCGUCGGUAAGGUGAUAUGAACCGUUAUAACCGGCGAUGUCCGAAUGGGGAAACCCAGUGCAAUUCGUUGCACUAUCGUUAACUGAAUACAUAGGUUAACGAGGCGAACCGGGGGAACUGAAACAUCUAAGUACCCCGAGGAAAAGAAAUCAACCGAGAUUCCCCCAGUAGCGGCGAGCGAACGGGGAGCAGCCCAGAGUCUGAAUCAGCUUGUGUGUUAGUGGAACGGUCUGGAAAGUCCGACGGUACAGGGUGAUAGUCCCGUACACCAAAAUGCACAGGUUGUGAACUCGAAGAGUAGGGCGGGACACGUGGUAUCCUGUCUGAAUAUGGGGGGACCAUCCUCCAAGGCUAAAUACUCCUGACUGACCGAUAGUGAACCAGUACCGUGAGGGAAAGGCGAAAAGAACCCCGGCGAGGGGAGUGAAAAAGAACCUGAAACCGUGUACGUACAAGCAGUGGGAGCACCUUCGGGUGUGACUGCGUACCUUUUGUAUAAUGGGUCAGCGACUUAUAUUCUGUAGCAAGGUUAACCGUAUAGGGGAGCCGCAGGGAAACCGAGUCUUAACUGGGCGUUAAGUUGCAGGGUAUAGACCCGAAACCCGGUGAUCUAGCCAUGGGCAGGUUGAAGGUUGGGUAACACUAACUGGAGGACCGAACCGACUAAUGUUGAAAAAUUAGCGGAUGACUUGUGGCUGGGGGUGAAAGGCCAAUCAAACCGGGAGAUAGCUGGUUCUCCCCGAAAGCUAUUUAGGUAGCGCCUCGUGAACUCAUCUUCGGGGGUAGAGCACUGUUUCGGCUAGGGGGUCAUCCCGACUUACCAACCCGAUGCAAACUACGAAUACCGAAGAAUGUUAUCACGGGAGACACACGGCGGGUGCUAACGUCCGUCGUGAAGAGGGAAACAACCCAGACCGCCAGCUAAGGUCCCAAAGUCAUGGUUAAGUGGGAAACGAUGUGGGAAGGCACAGACAGCCAGGAUGUUGGCUUAGAAGCAGCCAUCAUUUAAAGAAAGCGUAAUAGCUCACUGGUCGAGUCGGCCUGCGCGGAAGAUGUAACGGGGCUAAACCAUGCACCGAAGCUGCGGCAGCGACACUAUGUGUUGUUGGGUAGGGGAGCGUUCUGUAAGCCUGCGAAGGUGGCCUGUGAGGGUUGCUGGAGGUAUCAGAAGUGCGAAUGCUGACAUAAGUAACGAUAAAGCGGGUGAAAAGCCCGCUCGCCGGAAGACCAAGGGUUCCUGUCCAACGUUAAUCGGGGCAGGGUGAGUCGACCCCUAAGGCGAGGCCGAAAGGCGUAGUCGAUGGGAAACAGGUUAAUAUUCCUGUACUUGGUGUUACUGCGAAGGGGGGACGGAGAAGGCUAUGUUAGCCGGGCGACGGUUGUCCCGGUUUAAGCAUGUAGGCUGGUUAUCCAGGCAAAUCCGGAUAAUCAAGGCUGAGGUGUGAUGACGAGGCACUACGGUGCUGAAGUAACAAAUGCCCUGCUUCCAGGAAAAGCCUCUAAGCAUCAGGUAACAUUAAAUCGUACCCCAAACCGACACAGGUGGUCAGGUAGAGAAUACCAAGGCGCUUGAGAGAACUCGGGUGAAGGAACUAGGCAAAAUGGUGCCGUAACUUCGGGAGAAGGCACGCUGGUGUGUAGGUGAAGUCCCUGCGGAUGGAGCUGAGACCAGUCGAAGAUACCAGCUGGCUGCAACUGUUUAUUAAAAACACAGCACUGUGCAAACACGAAAGUGGACGUAUACGGUGUGACGCCUGCCCGGUGCCGGAAGGUUAAUUGAUGGGGUUAUCCGUAAGGAGAAGCUCUUGAUCGAAGCCCCGGUAAACGGCGGCCGUAACUAUAACGGUCCUAAGGUAGCGAAAUUCCUUGUCGGGUAAGUUCCGACCUGCACGAAUGGCGUAAUGAUGGCCAGGCUGUCUCCACCCGAGACUCAGUGAAAUUGAACUCGCUGUGAAGAUGCAGUGUACCCGCGGCAAGACGGAAAGACCCCGUGAACCUUUACUAUAGCUUGACACUGAACAUUGAGCCUUGAUGUGUAGGAUAGGUGGGAGGCUUUGAAGCGUGGACGCCAGUCUGCGUGGAGCCAACCUUGAAAUACCACCCUUUAAUGUUUGAUGUUCUAACGUUGGCCCCUUACCGGGGUUGCGGACAGUGUCUGGUGGGUAGUUUGACUGGGGCGGUCUCCUCCCAAAGCGUAACGGAGGAGCACGAAGGUUAGCUAAUCCUGGUCGGACAUCAGGAGGUUAGUGCAAUGGCAUAAGCUAGCUUGACUGCGAGCGUGACGGCGCGAGCAGGUGCGAAAGCAGGUCAUAGUGAUCCGGUGGUUCUGAAUGGAAGGGCCAUCGCUCAACGGAUAAAAGGUACUCCGGGGAUAACAGGCUGAUACCGCCCAAGAGUUCAUAUCGACGGCGGUGUUUGGCACCUCGAUGUCGGCUCAUCACAUCCUGGGGCUGAAGUAGGUCCCAAGGGUAUGGCUGUUCGCCAUUUAAAGUGGUACGCGAGCUGGGUUUAGAACGUCGUGAGACAGUUCGGUCCCUAUCUGCCGUGGGCGCUGGAGAAUUGAGGGGGGCUGCUCCUAGUACGAGAGGACCGGAGUGGACGCAUCACUGGUGUUCGGGUUGUCAUGCCAAUGGCACUGCCCGGUAGCUAAAUGCGGAAGAGAUAAGUGCUGAAAGCAUCUAAGCACGAAACUUGCCCCGAGAUGAGUUCUCCCUGAGACUUUAAGUCUCCUGAAGGAACGUUGAAGACGACGACGUUGAUAGGCCGGGUGUGUAAGCGCAGCGAUGCGUUGAGCUAACCGGUACUAAUGAACCGUGAGGCUUAACCUUACAACGCCGAAG